rnacentral:rRNA from 1 species
GACGAACGCUGGCAGCGUGCUUAACACAUGCAAGUCGAACGGAAAGGCCCUGCUUUUGUGGGGUGCUCGAGUGGCGAACGGGUGAGUAACACGUGAGUAACCUGCCCUUGACUUUGGGAUAACUUCAGGAAACUGGGGCUAAUACCGGAUAGGAGCUCCUGCUGCAUGGUGGGGGUUGGAAAGUUUCGGCGGUUGGGGAUGGACUCGCGGCUUAUCAGCUUGUUGGUGGGGUAGUGGCUUACCAAGGCUUUGACGGGUAGCCGGCCUGCGAGGGUGACCGGCCACAUUGGGACUGAGAUACGGCCCAGACUCCUACGGGAGGCAGCAGUGGGGAAUAUUGCACAAUGGGCGGAAGCCUGAUGCAGCAACGCCGCGUGCGGGAUGACGGCCUUCGGGUUGUAAACCGCUUUCGCCUGUGACGAAGCGUUAGUGACGGUAAUGGGUAAAGAAGCACCGGCUAACUACGUG